CCUGUGCUCGACUCAGAAUGGGUUUCCCCGCAAGGGGCGCAGAGACAGGUGCUGCAUGGCUGUCGUCAGCUCGUGUCGUGAGAUGUUGGGUUAAGUCCCGCAACGAGCGCAACCCUCGCCUUUAGUUGCCAUCAUUCAGUUGGGCACUCUAGAGGGACCGCCGGCGGCAAGCCGGAGGAAGGUGGGGAUGAAGUCAAGUCAUCAUGGCCCUUACACCCUGGGCUACACACGUGCUACAAUGGCGGUGACAGUGGGCAGCGAGCUCGCGAGAGUCAGCUAAUCCCAAAAAACCGUCCCAGUUCAGAUUGCACUCUGCAACUCGGGUGCAUGAAGGUGGAAUCGCUAGUAAUCGCAGAACAGCAGGCUGCGGUGAAUACGUUCCCGGGCCUUGUACACACCGCCCGUCACGGCAUGGGAGUUGGUUUUACCCGAAGACGGUGCGCUAACCGCAAGGAGGCAGCCGGCCACGGUAGGAUCAGCGACUGGGCCGAAGUCGUAACAAGGUAAGCGUAGUGCU
rnacentral:rRNA from 1 species